CCUACGGGUGGCAGCAGUGGGGAAUAUUGGACAAUGGGCGAAAGCCUGAUCCAGCCAUGCCGCGUGUGUGAAGAAGGCCUUCGGGUUGUAAAGCACUUUCAGUGGGGAAGAAAGCCUUGGGGCUAAUACCCUCGAGGAAGGACAUCACCCACAGAAGAAGCACCGGCUAACUCCGUGCCAGCAGCCGCGGUAAUACGGAGGGUGCGAGCGUUAAUCGGAAUUACUGGGCGUAAAGCGCGCGUAGGCGGUCUGAUAAGCCGGUUGUGAAAGCCCCGGGCUCAACCUGGGAACGGCAUCCGGAACUGUCAGGCUAGAGUGCAGGAGAGGAAGGUAGAAUUCCCGGUGUAGCGGUGAAAUGCGUAGAGAUCGGGAGGAAUACCUGUGGCGAAGGCGGCCUUCUGGACUGACACUGACGCUGAGGUGCGAAAGCGUGGGUAGCAAACAGGAUUAGAUACCCCAGUAGUC
rnacentral:rRNA from 1 species